GACGAACCGUGCGAACGUUAUUCGGAAUCACUGGGCUUAAAGGGCGCGUAGGCGGGCGGCCAAGUCAGGGGUGAAAGCCCCCAGCUCAACUGGGGAAGUGCCUCUGAUACUGGUCGCCUCGAGGGAGAUAGGGGCGUGCGGAACUUCCGGUGGAGCGGUGAAAUGCGUAGAUAUCGGAAGGAACACCGGUGGCGAAGGCAGGUCUCUGGGCUGACACUGACGCUCAUGCACGAAAGCGUGGGGAGCAAACAGG
rnacentral:rRNA from 1 species